UACGAAGGGGGCUAGCGUUGCUCGGAAUUACUGGGCGUAAAGGGCGCGUAGGCGGACAUUUAAGUUAGAGGUGAAAGCCCAGGGCUCAACCCUGGAGUAGCCUUUAAUACUGGAUGUCUUGAGUUCGGGAGAGGUGAGUGGAACUCCGAGUGUAGAGGUGAAAUUCGUAGAUAUUCGGAAGAACACCAGUGGCGAAGGCGACUCACUGGCCCGAUACUGACGCUGAGGCGCGAAAGCGUGGGGAGCAAACAGG
rnacentral:rRNA from 1 species